rnacentral:rRNA from 1 species
UACUCCUACGGGAGGCAGCAGUAGGGAAUCUUCCACAAUGGACGAAAGUCUGAUGGAGCAAUGCCGCGUGAGUGAAGAAGGUUUUCGGAUCGUAAAACUCUGUUGUGAGGGAAGAACAAGUAUGAGAGUAACUGCUCGUACCUUGACGGUACCUGCAGAAGAAGCACCGGCUAACUACGUGCCAGCAGCCGCGGUA